rnacentral:rRNA from 1 species
UACGAAGGGGGCUAGCGUUGCUCGGAAUCACUGGGCGUAAAGGGUGCGUAGGCGGGUUAUUAAGUCAGAGGUGAAAUCCUGGAGCUCAACUCCAGAACUGCCUUUGAUACUGAUAGUCUUGAGUAUGGGAGAGGUGAGUGGAACUGCGAGUGUAGAGGUGAAAUUCGUAGAUAUUCGCAAGAACACCAGUGGCGAAGGCGGCUCACUGGCCCG